rnacentral:rRNA from 1 species
GGUUUAAUUCGAUGGAUACGCGAGGAACCUUACCCGGGCUUGAACUGCCAGUGACUCAUGCAGAGACGCAUGUUUCUUCGGACACUGGCGGAGGUGCUGCAUGGUUGUCGUCAGCUCGUGCCGUGAGGUGUCGGCUUAAGUGCCAUAACGAGCGCAACCCUUCUCCCUGUUUGCCAUCGGGUAAUGCCGGGCACUCCAGGGACACUGCCAUCGUAAGAUGUGA